AUUAAUCAAAAUGGAAAACAGGAGUUUCAUGAUUAAAUAUAACACAAAUAGCAGUCUCAGCUUGAAGUACAGACCGUUUAUAAAGGUGGCCUAAUUGUUUACACAACCGAUAGCUCUCGAGUUACUUCUGGAGAAAAUCAGCCCAUAACUAAUAGCCUUUUCUGUUAGCCAAGAAGUGGAUUGGAGGAAGCGGAGCGAAAAAACUGACAGCUUACGGAUAAUUACCGACAAAACACACACACAGAUGCAGUCUUAGCCGCCCGAGGAGAUGAGGGACAGGUGAGAGUGGAGAGGUGAGAGGGCAGGUGAAGAGGGGGAGAAGAGCUAAGCGCCAUGAGCGGCGAUUUGUGUGUGAUCCAUUGAGCAAGGCCCAGGAGUUAGGGCCAACUCUAAGAGUGUCUGUGUGUGCGGAUCGAUUGCCCAGGAACGUCUUGUUAGAUAAGGAAAAAUGAUUCCCGCGGUGAGGGUUCCAUGAGCUAUUGGUAAUUUGCCCAGCAGCUCACGGGAGGGGGACACGAGGUGGUCCGGUUUUGGAGGAGGACAUGGCAUGGCGGCU